AGGAGAUACAGAAACAGGAAGCCAAAUAGAUUCAGGGUUUGUUUUGUUUCCUGGGAGAAAAACUACCUAGAAACUGGUCCUUUUUACUACCCAGUUCACAGUAUUUCCUGAGAUUAAUAAUGAUAUCUUGCAUUUGGGUGAUGCUUCAAAAUGUUUUCUUAAAGGUCUGUGUCAGAGAUUAGCUCACUUGACUCUCUAUUUUACAAUAAGGAAACUAAAGCUCAGAGAGGCAAAAGCUUGCCCAAUGUAUCACAUUCAGGAAAUGGGACCUCACAGAAGGGUACCCAGGCUUUCUAAUUUCGUAAGCCCUCUCAUCACACAGAGAAGACGGCAGAUCUACACCACUGAAAGGACAAAAGACAAAAGAAUGCUUGUGCCUCUGCCAGCCUAAUCCCUGGAAAUAAGACUUCUUUACUUCCGAGCGUUUUCCUGGGUCCUGCCUCGCAUCUGACCAGGGCAGGUGGCCUCCUCAUCACACUGCUGCCUCUGCUGUUGGCCCUGCUCAUGAAGCCACUAAACAUAUGGUCUCAGCUCUCUUGUCCUCCAAGAAAGACAACCACCACUGCUGCCUUUCUGAUCUCACGACCAAAGAGAAGAUGCUGUUCACCUCGAUCUAAGGCCCUAGGUCCUCAUUUCUUGCCUCCCAUUGGAGCUCAUCCAAGAUGGUUGACAAUGAGAAGAUAAACUCUCUUCAAGGAAAACUCCACACCUAGCCAAGAAGCUGUGAUUUUGCUUUAGGAACCAUUGAAACUCAUAACCCUAUAACACCAUAACCCAACAGAGUUUUUCUGCCUUAAGUAAUACCUCAUGUGAAUGCAGUCAUUCAGGUAAGUGUGUGCCAGCCUUAGCCAGUCUAGCUUCUUUUUAGUAGUAACAUGAAGUGGAGGAAGAAUUGGGCCUGUAAGACCUUCAUACCAUCUUCUCUAUCCUUGUUUUCCAUUUCAAAUACUCAUAGAGCGAGACAGACGACUCUGCAAAUAUGCAGUCCUUGGUACUUAUAGUAUGGCUCACAUCCAGUUUGUGAACAGAAACAUUUUCUUAAAACACAUCUGUGAAAGCUCUUCUAAAAAAUUUCCCAAUUUACAUUAUUAAACCUUAACUUUCCAUUCUGAAGCAUUUUCUUUGGAAGUUUUUCAUCGAGUUCAGGUUUUUCUUCCAAACAAUGAUUUGGUACUCUUCUCAUUUUUCCCUAGGAACAAAGUAACAGGCUUCCUCAAGGACUCCAGCCAGAAUGUAGGACUUUCUCUUAAUUUUAAAAGUCUUGUGGAGACUGUAAAUAGCAGAGACACCAGUGUGAAGAGGGGGCCACGAAGUUUUAAAAAAUCUCAAGUUUUAGAAUCCAGAGGAUCCUUUAAGAAACUACUCUAAAAUUCAAUGGCUGCCUUAAAACAACAUGAUUUAUUCUCAUGAGUCUCAGUUGGGUGAGGCUGGGCUCCAGAGUCUGGGUUGUGAGCUGCAGGCUGCAUGUUGUGUUCAGGCCUGCCACGUGUGUCUCAUUCUGAGGCCUAGGCUGAGGUUCAGUGGCUACUGAAGCAUAUUCUUCUCAUGGCAGAUCCCCUCAGCUCAAAAGCUUACCUCAAGUGCACAAGCACAUUUCAAGCUUCUACUUGAGCCACGCCCGCUAACAUCCUAUCUGUCAAAGGAAGACAUAUGGCUAAGCCUAGUGUCAAGAGGUGGGGAAGCUCACUUAGCCCUCCCCUCCACAAAGCUGUUACACUUCUAUUACAGAAUUCUAUUACAGAGGAGCGGUAAUUAUGUCUAGUAGUUCAAUUUCCUUUCCUGGACCACCGCAGACUUUGCCUAGUUCUCUAACUACUCUCUCUUGUGUCCAGCCUUGCCCCACAUGCUCAUCAUUUAUACCUGAUUUGGUCACUCCUCUGCUUAAAUCAAUACUUCCAUUACAUGAAGAAUUGAAACUUUUUAGUAAGACCAAUGAGUUCAUCCCGGUUAGUUCUAUAACGUGUUUUAUUUCCAUUAGUCACUCUCUCUCUCUCUCUCUCCCCUCACCCUCUAAAGCUUUGCUUCCAUCUACCUGUUACUUCUCUGAACAUCUAAACGUUUUUAAGGCUUGUGGUUUUAUGCGUGUUAUUUCUUCUCCAGAAAUUUACUUUAUUUAUCAAACAAAAGUUUAUUAAAUGUCCGUGAUGUGCCAGGCACCUGGAAAGAUUAGAGGUACGUUGGAGAACAAAUUAGAAUUUGGUCCUUCCCUCGGAGAGCUUACGGGAGAGUGAGGAAAUGCACCUGCCCAGCCUUUUUGCCACAGUGAACAUGAGUCAUCUUUUAGGAUGCAGAUGUGAUCACCUAUGCCUUUCUCUGUUUUCCCCAGAGGGAGUUAAGUUUUUCCUUUUUAAUGUUCUCAUACCACUUUGCAUCAGUGCAGCUAAAUAAUAUUUUGAGAUACAAAUUAAUGCUUUUUUUUCUUUCUGUAUUUCCCCCUUUCCCCUCCUCCCUAUUCUUUGUCUAAGGAUGUUUUGGGGAAAGAAGCCUCCUUGCCUCUCCAAAAAACCACAUAAAGCCAUCGGGACCAUUUUCCUAGGUGACUGUAGGAGAAAUAUCAAGAUAAAGUGAUGUGCAACCAGCAGGGGAGAAUCCAGGUGAAAGUGGUGAAGAACAUGGGAACCUCUCUCCCAGGUGAAAAGAAUUUCCUGGCCUGGGGAAAGAAGGAAGAGAAAGAGAUCUGUAGGUCCUGGGAGCAGAGAGGACCUCUAUGCUCCUUUCGGCAAUGCCCUGAAUAUGAUCAGUAAUAGUAACAACAAUGACAAUAGCAACAGCAAUGAUAAUGAGAGCAGCUGACUGCUACUGAACACUGACUAUGUACCAGGAAUUGUGCUAAGUACUUUAUGUUACAUUACCUCAAUUUUGUCCUCACAACAACUCUGGGAGGUAGGUAAUAUACAUAUCUCCACUUUACAGAUGAAAAUCUGAAGCUUAGGAAAUGGAAGAACAUCUGCCGGAGGUCACACAGACAUGGCACGUUCAUGAUGUGAAUCCAAGUGAUGCUGAAGUCAGCCUUCUUAAACAUUCACAAUUCUGCCCCUCUUCAGUGAGGCCUCCAAGACCAGCUGCCUGGGGAACUCAGGCAGAGAAAGCUAUCUGCAGCCAGAUAUGGGUCCUUCUAGUUGCGGCAUGUGGGAUGCCACCUCAGCAUGGCUUGAUGAGUGGUACCAUGUCCGCGCCCAGGAUCCGAACCCGUGAAACCCCGGGCCACCGAAGCAGAGCGCGCGGACCCAACCACUCAGCCACGGGACCGGCCCCUACAAACCUUGAUUUUAGAGUCUCAGUUCCUUUAAAAUUUUGGACAUGAACCCACCUGAACAACAACUACCAAAACUCCUCCAACUGGCUUCCAUUGCUGAACAGAUACAUUCCGAUUUCUCUGACAAGUAAAUGUAAAGUGUACAAUGAACCUGACCAGUGCUUUGACAAACAUCGUUGAAGUGUAAUGAGAUCUCUUUACGCUUUCUUUCUUUUCUGUUGUUACUAGGGCUUUCUUGUAAAUAAAUAAACCGCAUUAGUCAGUGUUGAGAAGACAUUCUCUCGUUCAUUAACUGGGAAAGGUAAAUUGAACUUAGGUGCUUUAAUUUCAGAAAAUUGUUUUGCUAAAAUUUUCUUAAUUUAUGUAACCUUUAUCAUAGGACACUCAUUCGUAAUUUUUUACUGUAAUGGUAUAAAAAUGAAAAUACCUUUUGAGAUCAUUACCCUAGUCCAUAUCUGUUAUGGGCUCAAUUGUGCCCCCCAAAAUUCCUAUGCUGAAAUUCUAACCCCUAGUACCUCAGAAUGUGACUGUAUUUGGAGACUGGGUCUAUAAGACGUGUUAAGGUAAAAUGAGGCCGUGAAAGUGGGCCCUUAUCCAAAAAAACUGGUGUCCUUCGAAGAACAGAGGGUUAGGACAGAGACGCACACAGAAGGAAGACAGUGUGACAACACGGGGAGAAGACGGCCAUCUGCAAGUCAGAGAGAGGCCUCAGGGGACAUCAACCCUGUGGACGCCUUGAUCUCUGAUUUCUAGCCUCCAAAGUCGUGAGAAAAAUAAAUUUCUGUCGUUUCAAUCACCCAGCCUGUGGUACUUCGUUAUGGCAGCCCUAGCAAAUUAAUAUAAUGUCUUAAAUUUGGCAAUAAUACUGUCUGACAGAGUAAGAAUUUCCUGUGUGAGUCUUUCCUUCUGCAAAAAUUAUCUUUAAUUCUUUUUAAAAUAAAACCAAAAUGUGACUGGCAAACUUUCUGUGCAUAAGUAUAUUAAAUAUUUUUUUCUGUAUGGACGAGUAUUCUUUUUGUUUUACUUUUUUUUAUCGCAGUAACAGUGGAUUAUAACAUUGUAUAGCUUUCAGAUGUACAUCGUAAUAUAUUUUGAAUUCUGUGUAGAUUACAUCAUGUUCACCACCCGAAAACUAAUUAUGGUCUAUCACUUCACAUGUGAGCCUAAUCACUCCUUGUGCCCUCCCACUUCCCCCUUCCCCCUUCCCCUCUGGUAGCUACCUAUCCAGUCUCCAUUGCUAUGUGUUUGUUUGUCAUUGUUUUUAUCUUCUACUUAUCAGUGACAUCAUAUGGUAUUUGACUUUCUCUCUCUGACUUAUUUCCCUUAGCGUAAUACCCUCAAGGUCCAUCCAUGUUGUCGCAAAUGGCCAGAUUUCACCAUUUCUUGUGGCUGAGUAAUAUUCCAUUGUGUAUAUAUACCACAUCUUCUUUAUCCAUUUGUAUGGAUGAAUAUUCUGUAACUCAGACAUGAGACAAAUCAAAUCAACCUUUGCCCUCAAUUGUAAUGAAUUAAGGAGAUCUUAUUGAAUAGUCCAUCACACAGAUAAUUUUUACAAAACUGGUUCUAGGACAACAUCUUCCAUAUUCAAUCAACUCUUAAGUCUUGUUGUUUUUACUACCUUUCUUAUAAAACACUGCAUUUCAUUACCUUAUUUUUCCCUUCUAGUUGUCACCACCCUAGUGAAGACACCAAUGUCUUUUCUGGGCUCAUCUAAUAAUUUCCCAAAUGUCCUCACCUAUGGACCCUCUCUACCUCCAAAAUUCAUUACAUAGACACUAGUUAUAAUUAUGACAUGAAAUUCUUUUUGUGGCAAUAUUCUUCAAUAGUUUCCCAUUAUCUACAAAAUAAAAUCUAAACUCCCUUCACAGUACAAUAGCAUAUGCUUCAUGAUGUAGCCUCUGCAUACUUGUUCUGCUUUGUGUCGCUCCUCAACCUCAACCCUUGUUUUACUCACUAAUACUUAUUACCUAUAGCUCCUGGACUGUAUUGGGAUUUUCCUUUUUUUUUUUUUUUCUUAUGCCUAUAUGUCUUUGCACAUAUGUUGUUCUUACUGCCUGUAAUGUUUUCCAAUAUUCUCUGACCAACUUCUUAUCCUUCAAGUUUUAGCUCAAAUAACAUCUUAUGUCUCAGUGUUCAAAUGUGCCUUCUGUGUUCCCAUGACACACAGUUUAUAGCUCCUUGUCUAUCUCCACAGCAGAUCAAUCUAUUUCUGCAUUUGUCUACUCAGUCCUUAGUAUCAUGCCUUCAUGGUGAAGGGACUUAAUGACUGCUUAUUAAGUGAAUACAAGGAUGAAGUGGGUAUGGCCUCAAAAAAUUGCUCAAAAGUAUUCAAAAGGCCUUACACUCACCACAAAGUCUCUAUGAAAAUGACCUUAAAGGAGUAUCACUCCGACAGGGUCAAUUUCCUUCCUGGGAAUAAUGUAAUUGGGGUUGUAUUACAGAAGAAGGACAUAGUCCCAGGUAAAUCACAGUUUUGACCACAUGGACAAGGCAAAGAUAUGACAAUUAUAAACUGAUAUAAUUAAUAAACAUUAAGCGCUAAAUUUUAUAAGAUGGCUAUAAACGUUCUAGAUAUAGUUGUAUUUAAUGUAAUAUAAUGUAAAUAUAACUAUUGAAUAAUAAAUUUGACAUUAAUUAAUUUUUCUGAAUCUUCUAAAAUAGAUUUAAGGCUUCUUUGAAAACAGGUAUAACAGCAGUGUCAUUAAAAUAAAAAUUCUACAAUUACCUACUUGAAGUAAGUUUGAAAGCAAUAUCAAGCAUUAACAAAAUAUUUAAUGUUAAAUGUCAUUUUUACUUCUUUAAAAUAAUUUAUUUUGGAAUUAGUGUGGAGUGGGCCUAUAUCUCUUUGAAAAGUAUCUGAAUUCACACACACAGCUGGUGGGGACGUAAAUUAGAAAACAUGACGUUUAGCUUUAUGUAUUUAAAUUCUCCAAAUUCUCAUAGUGUUUGACCGAGUAUUUGUGAUUCUGGAAGCUGAUCUUAAGAAACAAAUCAGACAUUUAAAAAUAUUCAUGAGCAAAUAUAUUUAUUGCAGCACUAUCUGAAAUUCAGAAAAUCAAUAAAGGGUUGGUUAAGAA
ensembl:lncRNA